GUGUCAGCCGCCGCGGUAAUACGUAGGGUGCGAGCGUUGUCCGGAAUUAUUGGGCGUAAAGGGCUCGUAGGCGGUUUGUCGCGUCGGGAGUGAAAACGCCGUGCUUAACACGGCGCUUGCUUUCGAUACGGGCAGACUAGAGGUAUUCAGGGGAGAACGGAAUUCCUGGUGUAGCGGUGAAAUGCGCAGAUAUCAGGAGGAACACCGGUGGCGAAGGCGGUUCUCUGGGAAUGACCUGACGCUGAGGAGCGAAAGUGUGGGGAGCGAACAGGAUUAGAUACCCGCGUAGUCC
rnacentral:rRNA from 1 species